rnacentral:rRNA from 1 species
CCUACGGGAGGCAGCAGUGGGGAAUAUUGCGCAAUGGGCGCAAGCCUGACCCAGCAACGCCGCGUGAAGGAAGAAGGCUUUCGGGUUGUAAACUUCUUUUGACAGGGAAGAGUAGAAGACGGUACCUGUCGAAUAAGCCACGGCUAACUACGUGCCAGCAGCCGCGGUAAUACGUAGGUGGCAAGCGUUGUCCGGCUUUACGGGGUGUAAAGGGCGUGUAGCCGGGUUUGUAAGUCAGAUGUGAAAUCCUGCGGCUUAACCGCAGAACUGCAUUUGAAACUGUUGGUCUUGUGUACUGGAGAGGGAGACAGAAUGCCUGGUGUAGCGGUGAAAUGCGUAGAGAUUAGGAGGAACACCAGUGGCGAAGGCGGUCUGCUGGACAGCGACUGACGGUGAGGCGCGAAAGCGUGGGGAGCAAACAGGAUUAGAUACCCUUGUAGUC